rnacentral:rRNA from 1 species
GGGGAUAACGUAGCGAAAGUUACGCUAAUACCGCAUACGAUCUAAGGAUGAAAGUGGGGGAUUCGCAAGAACCUCAUGCUCCUGGAGCGGCCGAUAUCUGAUUAGCUAGUUGGUGGGGUAAAGGCCCACCAAGGCUUCGAUCAGUAGCUGGUCUGAGAGGACGACCAGCCACACUGGAACUGAGACACGGUCCAGACUCCUACGGGAGGCAGCAGUGGGGAAUUUUGGACAAUGGGCGCAAGCCUGAUCCAGCAAUGCCGCGUGAGUGAAGAAGGCCUUCGGGUUGUAAAGCUCUUUUGUCAGGGAAGAAACGGUGAAGGCUAAUAUCCUUUGCUAAUGACGGUACCUGAAGAAUAAGCACCGGCUAACUACGGGCCAGCAGCCGCGGUAAUACGUAGGGUGCAAGCGUUAAUCGGAAUUACUGGGCGUAAAGCGUGCGCAGGCGGUUUUGUAAGUUUGUCGUGAAAGCCCCGGGCUCAACCUGGGAAUUGCGAUGAAGACUGCAAGGCUUGAAUCUGGCAGAGGGGGGUAGAAUUCCACGUGUAGCAGUGAAAUGCGUAGAGAUGUGGAGGAACACCGAUGGCGAAGGCAGCCCCCUGGGUCAAGAUUGACGCUCAUGCACGAAAGCGUGGGGAGCAAAC